rnacentral:rRNA from 1 species
GUGCCAGCCGCCGCGGUAAUACCGGCAGCACGAGUGAUGGCCGAUCUUAUUGGGCCUAAAGCGUCCGUAGCCGGCCGGACAAGUCCGUGGGGAAAUCGACGAGCCUAACGCGUGGGCGUCCAGCGGAAACUGUUCGGCUUGGGGCCGGAAGAUCCGAGGGGUACGUCCGGGGUAGGAGUGAAAUCCCGUAAUCCUGGACGGACCGCCGGUGGCGAAAGCGCCUCGGAAGGACGGACCCGACGGUGAGGGACGAAAGCUGAGGUCUCGAACCGGAUUAGAAACCCGAGUAGUCC